rnacentral:misc_RNA from 1 species
UGGGGGAACGUUGGUAUUUUGCCAAGGACGCAGUGUCGGAGACUUUGGUGGCUAGGCACACCUGAACGGUCCAAACUAUUUGCAAUUCCUUCUCUUCUGACGUGUUAUUGGCUGUUUUGUUGUGUAAUUUUCUACGGAGCAAGUCAACGACGAGUAACAUCUUGUUUUCGAGCGAAAAGUAAGAAAGACGGAUAAGAAUUAGGGAAACGAACACAGCAGGAAUUGGAUCGGCAGAUAUUCGAUUCAAGGCAGCAGAAGAAAGGAAACAAGGACACAAUAAAACAGCAAGCGGAAGGAAGAAAAUACGAUCGAUUAAAAAAGAGUAUAAAAGAAUGAAUGAAGCGGAUUGGAAAGCGAGGAAAUGAUGUAGGGAGGAGGGGGAAGAAAAAAGAUAAACGAGGGAUAAACGGCGAGAA